rnacentral:rRNA from 1 species
CCUACGGGUGGCUGCAGUAGGGAAUAUUGCUCAAUGGGGGAAACCCUGAAGCAGCAACGCCGCGUGAAGGAUGAAGGUUUUAGGAUUGGAAACUCCUUUUGUUAGAGAAGAUAAUGACGGUAUCUAACGAAUAAGCACCGUCUAACUCCGUGCCAGCAGCCGCGGUAAUACGGAGGGUGCAAGCGUUACUCGGAAUCACUGGGCGUAAAGAGCGCGUAGGCGGGAUAGCAAGUCAGAUGUGAAAUCCUAGGGCUUAACCAUAGAACUGCAUUUGAAACUGUUAUUCUAGAGUAUGGGAGAGGUAGGUGGAAUUCGUGGGGUAGGGGUAAAAUCCGUAGAGAUCAAGAGGAAUACUCAUUGCGAAGGCGACCUGCUAGAACAUAACUGACGCUGAUGCGCGAAAGCGUGGGUAGCAAACAGGAUUAGAUACCCCUGUAGUC